CGGAGGAAAAGAAACCAACAGGGAUUGCCCCAGUAACGGCGAGUGAAGCGGCAACAGCUCAAAUUUGAAAUCUGGCCCUUACGGGUCCGAGUUGUAAUUUGUAGAGGAUGCUUUUGGCAAGGCGCCGCCCGAGUUCCCUGGAACGGGACGCCACAGAGGGUGAGAGCCCCGUCUGGCUGGCCGCCGAGCCUCUGUAAAGCUCCUUCGACGAGUCGAGUAGUUUGGGAAUGCUGCUCAAAAUGGGAGGUAUAUGUCUUCUAAAGCUAAAUAUUGGCCAGAGACCGAUAGCGCACAAGUAGAGUGAUCGAAAGAUGAAAAGCACCUUGAAAAGAGGGUUAAAUAGUACGUGAAAUUGUUGAAAGGGAAGCGCUUGUGACCAGACUUGGGCGCGGCGGAUCAUCCGGGGUUCUCCCCGGUGCACUUCGCCGCGUCCAGGCCAGCAUCAGUUCGUCGCGGGGGAAAAAGGCUUCGGGAACGUGGCUCCCUCGGGAGUGUUAUAGCCCGUUGCGUAAUACCCUGCGGUGGACUGAGGACCGCGC
rnacentral:rRNA from 1 species